CUGUAGGUUGGUACUUGUACCGACUGGAUGAGCAGCGAACGGGUGAGUAACGCGUGGGGAAUCUGCCUUUGAGCGGGGGACAACAUUUGGAAACGAAUGCUAAUACCGCAUAAAAACUUUAAACACAAGUUUUAAGUUUGAAAGAUGCAAUUGCAUCACUCAAAGAUGAUCCCGCGUUGUAUUAGCUAGUUGGUGAGGUAAAGGCUCACCAAGGCGAUGAUACAUAGCCGACCUGAGAGGGUGAUCGGCCACAUUGGGACUGAGACACGGCCCAAACUCCUACGGGAGGCAGCAGUAGGGAAUCUUCGGCAAUGGACGAAAGUCUGACCGAGCAACGCCGCGUGAGUGAAGAAGGUUUUCGGAUCGUAAAACUCUGUUGGUAGAGAAGAACGUUGGUGAGAGUGGAAAGCUCAUCAAGUGACGGUAACUACCCAGAAAGGGACGGCUAACUACGUGCCAGCAGCCGCGGUAAUACGUAGGUCCCGAGCGUUGUCCGGAUUUAUUGGGCGUAAAGCGAGCGCAGGUGGUUUAUUAAGUCUGGUGUAAAAGGCAGUGGCUCAACCAUUGUAUGCAUUGGAAACUGGUAGACUUGAGUGCACGAGAGGAGAGUGGAAUUCCAUGUGUAGCGGUGAAAUGCGUAGAUAUAUGGAGGAACACCGGUGGCGAAAGCGGCUCUCUGGCCUGUAACUGACACUGAGGCUCGAAGCGUGGGGAGCAAACAGGAUUAGAUACGUGGUAGUCACGCCGUAAACGAUGAGUGCUAGAUGUAGGGAGCUAUAAGUUCUCUGUAUCGCAGCUAACGCAAUAAGCACUCCGCGUGGGGAGUACGACCGCAAGGUUGAAACUCAAAGGAAUUGACGGGGGCCCGCACAAGCGGUGGAGCAUGUGGUUUAAUUCGAAGCAACGCGAAGAACCUUACCAGGUCUUGACAUACUCGUGCUAUUCCUAGAGAUAGGAAGUUCCUUCGGGACACGGGAUACAGGUGGUGCAUGGUUGUCGUCAGCUCGUGUCGUGAGAUGUUGGGUUAAGUCCCGCAACGAGCGCAACCCCUAUUGUUAGUUGCCAUCAUUAAGUUGGGCACUCUAACGAGACUGCCGGUGAUAAACCGGAGGAAGGUGGGGAUGACGUCAAAUCAUCAUGCCCCUUAUGACCUGGGCUACACACGUGCUACAAUGGAUGGUACAACGAGUCGCGAGACAGUGAUGUUUAGCUAAUCUCUUAAAACCAUUCUCAGUUCGGAUUGUAGGCUGCAACUCGCCUACAUGAAGUCGGAAUCGCUAGUAAUCGCGGAUCAGCACGCCGCGGUGAAUACGUUCCCGGGCCUUGUACACACCGCCCGUCACACCACGGGAGUUGGGAGUACCCGAAGUAGGUUGCCUAACCGCAAGGAGGGCGCUUCCUAAGGUAAGACCGAUG
rnacentral:rRNA from 1 species